rnacentral:rRNA from 1 species
AUUGAACGCUGGCGGCAGGCCUAACACAUGCAAGUCGAGCGGAUGAAGGGAGCUUGCUCCUGGAUUCAGCGGCGGACGGGUGAGUAAUGCCUAGGAAUCUGCCUGGUAGUGGGGGAUAACGUCCGGAAACGGGCGCUAAUCCCGCAUACGUCCUGAGGGAGAAAGUGGGGGAUCUUCGGACCUCACGCUAUUAGAUGAGCCUAGGUCGGAUUAGCUAGUUGGUGGGGUAAAGGCGUACCAAGGCGACGAUCCGUAGCUGGUCUGAGAGGGUGAUCAGUCACAAUGGAACUGAGACACGGUCCAGACUCCUACGGGAGGCAGCGGUAGGGGAACUUUCGCAAUGGGCGAAAGCCUGGCGGCGCCCCGCCGCGGGGGUGAUGAAGGGCUUCGGAUUUUAAAACUCUGUUAUUUGGGAAGAACAAGGGUGUAAUUAACUAUGCGCGUUUUGACGGUACCCAAUCAGAAAGCCACGGCUAACUUCGUG